rnacentral:rRNA from 1 species
GACGAACGCUGGCGGCGUGCUUAACACAUGCAAGUCGAACGCAGUGGCGAACGGGUGAGUAACACGUGAGUAACCUGCCCCCUCCUUUGGGAUAACGCCCGGAAACGGGUGCUAAUACUGGACAGUGGGGGAUGGGCUCGCGGCCUAUCGGCUUGUUGGUGGGGUGAUGGCCUACCAAGGCUUUGACGGGUAGCCGGCCUGAGAGGGUGACCGGUGAAACUGGGACUGAGAGACGGACCAGACUCCGACGGGAGGAAGAAGUGGGGAAUAUUGCACAAUGGGCGAAAGCCUGAUGCGGCGACGCCGCGUGAGGGAUGACAGCCUUCGGGUUGUAAACCUCUUUCGCUCAUGGGCGGGUAGUGGGUAAAGAAGCGCCGGCUAACUACGUGCCAGCAGCCGCGGUAAUUC